UUUGUGGUUCAUGACUGGGGUGAAGUCGUAACAAGGUAGCGCUAGGGGAACCUGGCGCUGGAUCACCUCCUUA
rnacentral:rRNA from 3 species